rnacentral:rRNA from 1 species
UACGUAGGGUGCGAGCGUUAAUCGGAAUUACUGGGCGUAAAGCGUGCGCAGGCGGCUUUGCAAGACAGAUGUGAAAUCCCCGGGCUCAACCUGGGAACUGCAUUUGUGACUGCAAGGCUAGAGUACGGCAGAGGAGGAUGGAAUUCCGCGUGUAGCAGUGAAAUGCGUAGAUAUGCGGAGGAACACCAAUGGCGAAGGCAAUCCCCUGGGCCUGUACUGACGCUCAUGCACGAAAGCGUGGGGAGCAAACAGG